rfam:Solanum lycopersicum cultivar Heinz 1706 chromosome 1, whole genome shotgun sequence.
CUGAUGUGAUGCAAUUUAGCCAAAUCAGACAUUGUUGUGCUCCCUAUGGACCGUUGAAUCUGACACCUUAGGUAGGAGUGUGACUCUAUGAAGAUGGCAAUGAGAGAUUGCUUUAGC